rnacentral:rRNA from 1 species
ACCCGCGUACAUGCCACCGGGGCAUCCCGGAGGCAGGAAAGGCUUCGGCCGGACAGGGAUGGGCAUGCGGCGCAUUAGGCAGUAGGCGGGGUAACGGCCCACCUAACCGACGAUGCGUAGGGGUUCUGAGAGGAAGGUCCCCCACACUGGUACUGAGACACGGACCAGACUCCUACGGGAGGCAGCAGUGAGGAAUAUUGGUCAAUGGUCGGGAGACUGAACCAGCCAAGCCGCGUGAGGGAUGAAGGCACAGAGUAUCGUAAACCUCUUUUGUCAGGGAACAAAGGCGGGGACGUGUCCCCGGAUGAGUGUACCUGAAGAAAAAGCAUCGGCUAACUCCGUGCCUGCAGCCGCGGUAAUACGGAGGAUGCGAGCGUUAUCCGGAUUUAUUGGGUUUAAAGGGUGCGCAGGCGGUCUGUUAAGUCAGCGGUCAAAGCCCGGGGCUCAACCCCGGUCCGCCGUUGAAACUGGCAGUCUCGAGUUGGAGAGAAGUAUGCGGAAUGCGCGGUGUAGCGGUGAAAUGCAUAGAUAUCGCGCAGAACUCCGAUUGCGAAGGCAGCAUGCCGGCUCCACACUGACGCUGAGGCACGAAAGCGUGGGUAUCGAACAGGAUUAGAUACCCUGGUAGUCCACGCAGUAAACG